GACGAACGCUGGCGGCGUGCUUAACACAUGCAAGUCGAACGAAGUGGCGAACGGGUGAGUAACGCGUAAUCAACCUGCCCUUCAGAGGGGUAUAACAGUUGGAAACGACUGCUAAUCCCGCAUACUGACGGUGGGGUUUGCGUCUGAUUAGCUAGUUGGGGGGGUAACGGCCCACCAAGGCGAGGAUCAGUAGCCGGGCUGGGGGGAUGAACGGGCAAAAUGGGAAUGGGAAACGGCCCAGACUCCUACGGGAGGGAGCAGGGGGGGAACGUCCGGAAUGGACGAAAGGCGGAAGAAGCAACGCCGGGUGGGUGAUGACGGCCUUCGGGUUGGAAAGAUCUGUUAAUCGGGAAGCGGUACCGGAAUAGAAAGCCACGGCUAACUACGUGCCAGCAGCCGCGGUAAUUC
rnacentral:rRNA from 1 species